GCUGCGCACUUCGGUCUUUUACGUCGGCCUUCGCGAGCGUCUGGGCGGGUGGUAGGAACAAUGGCGCUGUCUUCAGUGGCACAGUGGAGCAGCUCUGAAGAUGCAAAGAUACACGAAAAAACUUCCAGAACAUCUGGGAGAAUAUUUAAUGGAAAAUCGCUUGGUUAAAACCUGACACUUUUAACAGUGAACAGCGUUCUGAGUGUGGACGAGUAGCCAGUGAAGAUAAUGAAUGUCGAAUGUGACUGACUAGCAGCUUCAUUUUGAAUGAGGGUCGCUGUCUGCCCAUUGAUAGAGGCCAGAUUGUCUUGGAAGUUCCAAAGUUGCAACGAUUUCUGUAAGUGGAGUUUUUCUGUUUGCUUAGAGAUCAGUGAAUAUUGUGUCCUUGGUCUUAUCUGUGAUGAUCUUAUCCCGAACCUGAACUUCUGUUGAAAAAAAAAAACUUUUACGGAUCUGGCUUCUGAGAUGGACCGUUAUAAGGACAAUAUUUUUUUUUAAUACUUUUAAUGCUUUUACAUAUGUUGUAAUGUUUGUAGUCUUGUAAGAAUCUCGUGUUUUUCCUUUUCUAGGGCUAGUGCCACGAGGUUUACUUGACUGUUGUGUGAAAAGCUGAUAAGAAAACCAUCCAGAAAAAAGCUCUUCGUUUUACAAACAUGAAAAUAAAACAUGUAAUUUUGGAU
rnacentral:lncRNA from 1 species